rnacentral:rRNA from 1 species
CCCUUAGAUGUUCUGGGCCGCACGCGCGCUACACUGACGAUGGCAACGAGUUUUUCCUUCGCCGAAAGGUGUGGGUAAUCUUUUGAAACAUCGUCGUGCUGGGGAUAGAUCAUUGCAAUUUUUGAUCUUGAACGAGGAAUUCCUAGUAAGCGCGAGUCAUCAGCUCGCGUUGAUUACGUCCCUGCCCUUUGUACACACCGCCCGUCGCUACUACCGAUUGAAUGGUUUAGUGAGGACUCCUGAUUAGCGCCGCCGCCCCGGCAACGGAGCAGCGGACUGCCGAAAAGUUGUUCAAACUUGAUCAUUUAGAGGAAGUAAAAGUCGUAACA